rnacentral:lncRNA from 1 species
CAAUUACCUUGCCGACUGAUAUCCAGAGGAGAAUAAUUUGGAAGACUGUUGUGGGGGAUUUCAAGAGACGCUUCAGAGAACUUUAAAACUUUCAAUAAUGUUUUAAAUACCUGGGGAAUAAAAACAAAAACCAAGAGUAAUAAUGUUGGAGGAAGAGGCAGUGGAAAGGAACAGAGAAUAGGAGC